rnacentral:lncRNA from 1 species
UAGUGACAGACUGGGAGGCACGGCUCUUGUAAUUGCUUCCAAGUUCAAUCACAAACUUGUGAAUCGUUAGGUCUUUCCGAACACUUAGCUUAACUUAUGUUGAACAUAAUAUACAAUAAAACUAUAUAACGCAAAUAGUUGGUGCUACUCACAUCAAGAAUCAUCGUUUCAGUUCUUGCUGAGGCUACCUUAAUUAGUUUGAAACUUUGAACAUGUACG